rnacentral:piRNA from 1 species
UGUCUCUGUGAUUAUCUGAUGGUACU